AGCUGUUCAAAAUAUGCGCCUACUUGCUCAUUCAAAACCCUGCCCUGUAUCAAGAAAAAUAAACCAGUACAACCAACCUGCAAAGAAUACAACCAAACCAGUUAAUAUCAGUUCAAUUCACUCAAACUGGAAAAAUCAGUUCAUAAAACAUGAAGUUGUAGCCUUGCCAAAAUCUCGCUGUAUACAUAAUUUCAAACCUGCUGCUGCCUACACCUUCAACAUAAAACAGCUUGCAAGCAAACCAAUGCAGCUUCAACUUGAAGCCCUACACAUUAAUAAAACCAGAGAAAAUCCAAAAUCCACAACUAAACCAAACUCGCCCUGCACAUAA